UCCUUCGAUUCAGUUUCUUUUUCUUUCCUUGAUUUUUCCUUGUAGGUCUCUGUGUUCUUCCAACCUAGAAGAUAUCGGUUUGCAUUCUUAACUCGUUUUCUGUUUUAUCUUCUUUUUCUUCUAUGUGAUUUAAGAGGCAAGAUGAAGGUUUAGUGAUCGAGAGAAAAAGGAAUUGAUCGAAGAAUAGUUUUCGGCAGUGAUACUGAUUCGAGUGGUGGAUCCAGAAUCCGCUAAAAAGUUUUGCAGAUCUAAUUGAUUAUGACGUCGAGCUAUCUUACCUUCUUCAGUCACAUCCGAAUUAUUUGUUACCAAAAUUUGACGAAGGCGCUUGUCAAGCUCAGGGUUAUUUUGGAUGUUGAAAGACAAGGAAA